AAGCGGGGCUCCGUCCCGGGAGAGCGAGAGCGCGUGCGAGUGAAGGGGGAGCAAGAAUACAGGUCGAGGGAGAUGAAGGAAAGAAGAAAGAAGCCCCUCCGCACCGAGCGGUGGACAAGAGUGCAAGCGGUGGAAGUCAGAGCGAGGGAAGAGUUCGACAGGGACGAAGAAGGAAGAAGGCCCUCUCAAUAUUUCAUGAUGAAUGAGUUUUCUUGAAAGAAAAUUGAAAGAAAAGGAAACGUUGCAACGUGGAGGAUGUUGGAAGAAGAGGAUCUUGAUGCUCUGUUGGUUAACAUUACGGUACCUUAAACUGAGUUUUUGAUUUGUCUGUUAAUUUCACUUCAUUAGCAUGUUUUGUGGAAACUGAUCAAGAAUCAGUCAGAAAAGGGAAAUCUUUACCAUGUAGAGGAAUGUGGGUCUUGAGACUUUGAGGUAAAAGAUUCCUUAACUGUUUAAAUACCAUGUAUUCUUGCAUAUGGUUCCUGAUUGAUAUACUUAUUAUU